GCGGGAGGGCCCCUGGGGGGGCCGGGCCUGCGGGUCGGAGCGCGCCCACCUGCGGCGGGGUGCGGGGCCUGCGCGGGCUUGUCUUCACUCGGUACUCGUUUCCCCUCUUGCUGUCUCGUCCUGUUUCUUGGCCCGUGGUGGAGCACCCCGAGACCCGCCUGUGUUGAGCUUCCAGAAAGGAAGAAAGGCGCAGCUUUCCAUCCUGACCAUUCCGACUCGUGGCUUGGGACAGGUGGGGAAACAGAACCAAAAACAGGGAAGCAAUGAAGACAGACAAGGACAUGGUGAAAACAGGCCCUGAGAGAACGUCGUUCGGAGAAAAGCUGGGAGGGGACACACCUCCUCUAGGCUGAAGAAGGGGGGCAACCAGAGGUGCAAGUGGACAUCUUCACUUCUCCUUGUUAUUUGGUUCCUUUUGCAUUGGGAACUGUGCAUGGCACUUGUAAACAGGAUUGCAUCAGGGAACUCCAGCUCCCUUUCUCCAUUCCUGGUUUACUGCUCAAGUCAGCAGAAACAGUGCUGUGUUUGCUACAUACUUGUGUUAGCCAAUCUCAAUUUCAAAUCACCCUGACCUUUGUAUUGAAAUGGAUUAAUUUUAUAAAACCGCACUGCA